GUCGUACGCUUCUUUUUCCCCGGAGCUUGCUCCACCGGAAAAAGAAGAGUGGCGAACGGGUGAGUAACACGUGGGUAACCUGCCCAUCAGAAGGGGAUAACACUUGGAAACAGGUGCUAAUACCGUAUAACAAUCGAAACCGCAUGGUUUUGAUUUGAAAGGCGCUUUCGGGUGUCGCUGAUGGAUGGACCCGCGGUGCAUUAGCUAGUUGGUGAGGUAACGGCUCACCAAGGCCACGAUGCAUAGCCGACCUGAGAGGGUGAUCGGCCACAUUGGGACUGAGACACGGCCCAAACUCCUACGGGAGGCAGCAGUAGGGAAUCUUCGGCAAUGGACGAAAGUCUGACCGAGCAACGCCGCGUGAGUGAAGAAGGUUUUCGGAUCGUAAAACUCUGUUGUUAGAGAAGAACAAGGAUGAGAGUAACUGUUCAUCCCUUGACGGUAUCUAACCAGAAAGCCACGGCUAACUACGUGCCAGCAGCCGCGGUAAUACGUAGGUGGCAAGCGUUGUCCGGAUUUAUUGGGCGUAAAGCGAGCGCAGGCGGUUUCUUAAGUCUGAUGUGAAAGCCCCCGGCUCAACCGGGGAGGGUCAUUGGAAACUGGGAGACUUGAGUGCAGAAGAGGAGAGUGGAAUUCCAUGUGUAGCGGUGAAAUGCGUAGAUAUAUGGAGGAACACCAGUGGCGAAGGCGGCUCUCUGGUCUGUAACUGACGCUGAGGCUCGAAAGCGUGGGGAGCAAACAGGAUUAGAUACCCUGGUAGUCCACGCCGUAAACGAUGAGUGCUAAGUGUUGGAGGGUUUCCGCCCUUCAGUGCUGCAGCUAACGCAUUAAGCACUCCGCCUGGGGAGUACGACCGCAAGGUUGAAACUCAAAGGAAUUGACGGGGGCCCGCACAAGCGGUGGAGCAUGUGGUUUAAUUCGAAGCAACGCGAAGAACCUUACCAGGUCUUGACAUCCUUUGACCACUCUAGAGAUAGAGCUUCCCCUUCGGGGGCAAAGUGACAGGUGGUGCAUGGUUGUCGUCAGCUCGUGUCGUGAGAUGUUGGGUUAAGUCCCGCAACGAGCGCAACCCUUAUUGUUAGUUGCCAUCAUUUAGUUGGGCACUCUAGCAAGACUGCCGGUGACAAACCGGAGGAAGGUGGGGAUGACGUCAAAUCAUCAUGCCCCUUAUGACCUGGGCUACACACGUGCUACAAUGGGAAGUACAACGAGUCGCGAAGUCGCGAGGCUAAGCUAAUCUCUUAAAGCUUCUCUCAGUUCGGAUUGUAGGCUGCAACUCGCCUACAUGAAGCCGGAAUCGCUAGUAAUCGCGGAUCAGCACGCCGCGGUGAAUACGUUCCCGGGCCUUGUACACACCGCCCGUCACACCACGAGAGUUUUAACACCCGAAGUCGGUGAGGU
rnacentral:rRNA from 2 species